CAGUCGCCGCGGGAAUACGUAGGUGGCAAGCGUUGUCCGGAAUUAUUGGGCGUAAAGGGCUCGCAGGCGGUUUCUUAAGUCUGAUGUGAAAGCCCCCGGCUCAACCGGGGAGGGUCAUUGGAAACUGGGAAACUUGAGUGCAGAAGAGGAGAGUGGAAUUCCACGUGUAGCGGUGAAAUGCGUAGAGAUGUGGAGGAACACCAGUGGCGAAGGCGACUCUCUGGUCUGUAACUGACGCUGAGGAGCGAAAGCGUGGAGAGCGAACAGGAUUAGAGACCCCAGUAGUCCCUGUCUCUUAUCA
rnacentral:rRNA from 1 species